rnacentral:lncRNA from 1 species
CCAUUUAACUGCAUCUCCUACUGAGCUGGAAGCUCUGGUGGAUAGGGGCAGGUCUGCUCAUUCACUGCUGCCUUCCCUGCACCUGGUACCAUGCACACAGAAUAAGCCUAGCAGAAUGCCUGUGGAUGGACUGACCAAUGAAAGUAAUGAGGUGCUGGGACCCGAAGGCUGAGUGGCAUGAGUCAUGAGGAGGCAUAGGUGGAGUUGGAGGUGGGAGGAGGAUGAUGUAGCAAAGGGCCAGGCGGGUUCAGGCACGUUCCUGGCGGAAGGUGCUCUGAUGCUGUGGAAGACAGUUUCUUCAUGGAUUCCAACUGCUUGAUUUGUGGGAAUGACUCAACCAUGCCUGUUCUCCCCCACCUUUGAUGAGG